rnacentral:lncRNA from 1 species
AGUAAACAGUGCUGCCCUAAUCUGUCUAAAGCCAUGAGGUCGAAGAGGGCGGUGUGUGUGGGGUGAGUCUGAAGCCACAGGCGGAGGAGGAGGAGGAGGAGGAGGAGGAGGAGGAGGAGAAGAAGAAGAAGAAGAAGAAGAAGAAGAAGAGAGAAGAGAAGAGAAGAGAAAGAAGAAAGAAGAAAGGGAAGAAAGAAGAAAGAGAAGAGGAAGAGGAGGAAGAGGAAGAGGAGGAAGAGGAAGAGGAAGGGGAAAAGGGGAAGAAGAAUCGCUAAGUAGCAGCUUUAUACUCAGGCUUCUUGUUUACAUAAUGGGGAGGAUCAAGUCCUAAGGCAGCAGUUGGGCCUGGCUCCUGGUCCCAGGGAGGAAGCCCUCAGCUGAUUGUACUCCCUCAAGAGUCUAUACAGCGAGAAGAAAUGAAAGAUGUAGCCCAACAUGCACUAUGUCUGCCUGGCUGAGGAGACAGGCUCCUGCCUCUUCUAAGAGACUGUUGAGAAGAUGUAUGGUGAACAUAUGGUUACAUUCUUAGAUCAGAUUGUGAGCUUCUUGUGGCCCAGGACUAUGUUUUACACUUGAUUCUUUGGAUCUCGAUGGGACUUAGAAUCGAGAUAAACAUAUGGGAGAACCUCAAUCAAGGAUUUUUGAGGAUUUUCACAAAUGACGAAAGCUGAUCAAACAUGUUAGAAAAACCCUGGAAAAGAAGACCUGGGACAGUUUCCUUCAGAGGCUCUCAUAUUGGAUUAAAAACAAAAAAACAGUGAAAGACAAAAAUCCAUUGUAUCCAAAAUUAAACAAAACAAAAAC